CCUACGGUGUGCAGCAGUGGGGAAUAUUGGGCAAUGGACGCAAGUCUGACCCAGCAACGCCGCGUGAAGGAAGCAGGCUUUCGGGUUGUAAACUUCUUUUAAGGGGGAAGAGCAGAAGACGGUACCCCUUGAAUAAGCCACGGCUAACUACGUGCCAGCAGCAGCGGUAAUAAGUAGGUGGCAAGCGUUGUUCGGAUUUACUGGGUGUAAAGGGCGGGCAGCCGGAGAGACAAGUCAGAUGUGAACUCCACGGGCUCAACCCGUGAACUGCAUUUGAAACUGUUUCCCUUGAGUGUCGGAGAGGUAAUCGGAAUUUCUAGUGUAGCGGUGAAAUGCGUAGAUAUUAGGAAGAACACCAGUGGCGAAGGCGGAUUACUGGACGAUAACUGACGGUGAGGCGCGAAAGCGUGGGGAGCAAACAGGAUGAGAUACCCGAGUAGUC
rnacentral:rRNA from 1 species